UCUUCCAUCACCUACAAAUUGUGGGUACACAGACCCUAUAAAUAUGAGCUGUGAGAAAUAAUAGUGUUGCAGAGGUACUUUGGAUUCCAGAGAAACAGAGGGUCAGGUUUAUUCUCAUCUGUGAGCAGCUGGCUAACUCAGCUCUCUUUUUAGUGAAUCAGUUCACAUUGGCCAAAUAAAGUCUGACCUCUCACCUUCCUUCUCCUCUUGGCCUUGGCUGAAGUGACAUGUGCUCCCUCCUCAAUGAAUUAUCCAUGGCUGCAGGACCAGCAGGGCCAGCCUUCCUUCAGACCUUGUAACAAGCUCUUCUAAUUUUGGCACUGCUUGCAUGGGAAACAACAUGGGUUUUGCCAGGAGAAUUUUAGAGACUUCCUUGAAUGCACUAAGCUGAGUGAGAAUUUAAGAUUUUGAUGGUAUAAUUGGUGGACACAAACCAGUGAGCCACGAAACCAAUGUGAGCCUUGUAGAAGUAAGCAGAAGAGCACCAAAAAAAAGUGACUGUGGGUAAAGUGUUUUGUCAUUAAAGCUGUAAAAUUAAAACCCAGACAGGUCUAAACUCUCCUUCCCACAAUCAACUCUUUUCUUGCUGCCAGCACAGUUAAUGGCCCACAGGUUUCAUGCCUUGGACAAAACCAUGAUGUAUUCCUCAGCUGCCUUCCUGCCAACCUGCACUGCUCUCAGCCCCUCAGUACUGCAGCUGCUGUGAUAUUCUCUGUGUCCAAGGAUUCCAGCACUCACUGGAGUCAAGGAGGGAAACAGAAAAGGAAGAGCAUGUGUGCAUGGGUUUGUGGUCUCAGAGGAGCAUGUUAACAGACACUUAAUGCUCACAUGAAUAGAAUUCUCCAUGAAGAACAGGGUUUCUCAUGAAGAGAAGAGGAGGAGAAAAAUGUUUCACAAAUCACAGUGAAGAUACAAGGAAAUUUUGCCUAAGAAGGAAAAGAAUAUAUUUCUCAGAAGCUGUGGUCCAUAAUUGCUUCCAUCCAUGACUUUAACAGAGCACUACCAACAAACAAUGUCAUAAUCAGCCAGAAUCCUCUCUCAAUUCCCUGCAAAAACACUACCAUGUUUGUUUACAUGUUCAGAUGGUUUCUGUGUAUGUAUUAUUUUAUUGGCAGUUCUGGAAAGGGCACAUUCUCUAGUGAUGACACUCUUGGAUUCUGCCCCAAAAAUGCAUCAGACUGCACAGGAUGUGUUGUUAUCUGCUCUGUAACACAUAGACAGUAAAUUAACUGCUAUCAGACAGAUGACAGACAGCUAAAUUGAAUGUUUGCAUAUAGUUUUCUUUAAUUUGCUGUGUUUCUUGAUACCUAUCUUUUCUGAUAUUGCUCCCAUAUCAGAUGUGAGUAGAUUAAGUCUGUCAGAACAAUGGGGAAAAUUAUUAUAGAUAGCAAAGCUACAGCCCUCCAUCAGUGGCAGACACUUUUCAAACUAAUGACUUGUAGUGUGUAUUACACAUAUUCAAGAGCUCUCAUUUUAUCGUUCUACAAGUGUGUUUUAUCCUAUUAAAAAACAUAGAGAGAUUCACAGCUUUCUCAAAUAUGACAGCAAUUUCUCUGAGUCCUCAAGGAGUUGAAAAAAAUUGUAUCUAAAUGUGUGAUACUUUUAUAAAUGCAAAGAAUUUUUUAAAUUUUUAUGACUUUUCAAUUCAGUACAAUUUGAUUCCUUAUAUAAAAUGAAUUUCAGUAUGAGCCUGAAGCUGAAAAAUGUAAAAGUGGAGAGUAUAAUUUGAGAAAAUUAUCCUUUCAAUCAAAACUAGUAAGUAAGGAAAUCUAAUAGUCAGAAAAAUGCCAAAUUCAGUCUGUGAAUACUAGAUGACACUUUCAAUACAUAUCUCCCAGCUAUUAGCUUACAGAAAAAAAAUGAUAUACUUCUGUAAUAUGCACCAGUCUUUUAUAUCGAGCUCUGUCUAAGAAUUUACAAAUUUCACUGAAGUUUCUUAUUACUACGUCACCUGUCAUGGAAAGUAUAAUGCUGGUGCAGAAUCCCAUGACACAAAUGCAUGUUAAUGCAUAGAAAAUAUAGAAAAGUCUCUGUCCUCCUUUUUCAGGAGAUGACCAUGGUAAGUUUUAUAGCAUCCUACUGUCUGUUUACAUAGAAAAAAUAAAAUAAAACUCCUGUGAAUUGUUACUUCAUCAUAAAUUUGAUCUGUUGCAAAGUGCAAAUAAACAGAGAUGUUAUGGAAAAUAAUUACACUAAGGAGGCCUGUUAGUAGCAGUCAUUUCUGGAUGUAAAGAACUUUCUUGAAUUACCAUGUAUGAUGGUGGUUUGUACUUGAUUUACAAAGAUGAUUUAUUUGAAGGGUAGCCAACAAUAAUUUGUUGUAGAACGUAACAGUGUGGUGAACACGUUUGUACCUUACGCAAUGUUGUUAUGUUGCCUGAAAUAUUCUCAAGGAUCCCACAGAGUUCUGGAGGAGCCGGUCCUUGUAACAAUGAGAGUGGACAAGAAAGCAUUGCAGAGACUAAGGCAGGCAUUUCACACACCAGAAAGUUGCAUUUUUUUCAAAAUACUUAAGAGAGCUUUAUACAAGGUCUUUUAACAUGGUGUAUUUUAGAUCAAAUGUAUACAGACUUGCUAUUUCCAAGUUGUAAUCUGCAUCUUUUAUUAAAAUACUAGUUUUCAUGUUUCUGCACCCUCUGUGCCCUUCAUGGCCAAGUAUGUAUAUAUAUAUGCCUUAUGAUAGGUGGGUUUUGACUUUUUUCCUUUCUCCCCUGCCCUCUUCUCAUUGACAUUUGGACCUCCAAUCUGCAUUUCUAUUGACUUUUACAGGGACAAAAAAAGUUAUCUUUCCUUUCAUGUCCACUAAAUUAUGAAUUAUUCAACCACUCUACUUAAAUAUAUUGUCUAUGUUUUUAAUUCACAGUACAUUAAAUGCUUCAGUGACAUCAAUCUACUUUAUUAUACUCUCCUCAGAUCCACCAGUGAGGCAGAUUUCAGCUACACAGAUCUGCAACAACCUUGAGUAUGCUGUUUCUGUACAGUAACACAAAAGGAGAUUAUUACAACGUAAAUUUUUAUAGAAGAUGAUCAACAAUCAUACAGAGUAACAAUUUAAUAAAAAAUUAUAAGAGAGAUUUGUGGUUUGAUGUAAAAAUCCCUUGAGCCUAUCUACUGAUCAUCAUUAGCCUUGACAAAUUCAUUGGGCUAUGUUAGAUAACCUCAUUAACCAAGCACAGUUUACCUCAAGUCACAGAUGCUUUUUCAAGGUUAAAACUGAUAAUCACUUUUGGUUGUAAGACUGAAGUUGAGAAAAAAAGGUUUUUAAUUUCCCUUAGAUCAAAAGUGGAAGAUUUCUUAUGUUUUAUAAUGUUUUGCUUUGUUCGUCUGGCAGUAAAAAGCUGAAGUUUGGCAAGAAACGUGGGAAUUUAAAAUUAAUAAUGUCUCUUCUUCUCAAAACAUUUAUCUUGAUUUUGUAGCCAUGCACUUGAUAACUCAUAAAAACAAUAAUAAUUUCAGUGCCAAAGUACAAAUAAGAGAAAACAGCCUGAGGCAGAGGUUUUACAAAGGUAGAGAUAAUACAGAACUGAAAUACGUGAGGGGGGAGAAAAGGAUUGUUUUUGUCGUGUGAGGGCACAUGAAGGGCAAUGAUUAAAUGCUGGAAGAGAGGGGAAGAUGUCAGUCAUUCACCAGUAUGCAAUAUAAGUGAACUUGUAAAACCCCAAGAUGCUUAUGUUACCCUAGGAUAGCUCAUCUCUCAAGCAAAUAUUAUGAGUAAAUUGGCUCUUAUCUUCAAAAUGUCUUCAGUGGUGGAUAGAAGAGUUUAUCUCACUCUUCUUCUGUUGAUUUUUUGAAAUGAAAGAAAAAUCAUCUGAAUGCAAUCUCUCAUAUUUGAAUGGAUCAAUGGGAUGGGAAAAGAAUCUUACUCAUGCAGCUAUCUUUGUGAUUUCUUUUCAUACUCCUUGGAACAUAUUCAUUACAUAGACUUAAUUGACUGAGUUGUGAAAGUAUUCUCAUGGAUGCACUGCAAGUGUCUCCAUGUAAAAUUGCUUUCUGCAUCUGCGCAUUAAUUCUCAAGUGUCUUGGGGUAGAAGCUGAAGUCACAUCCAUGCCAUGAUAAAUGCCCACGAGUUUAUGGGUGCUUUAUACACCAGUCUGCAAGGGAACUUCACUUUCAUACUGAGAUAAAGAGGAUUUUUGUGCAAUGAGGUUUGUUUCCAGUGUGCUGAAGGCUGUUAACAAACAUUUGUGUGCAAGAGACAUAGGAGUGGCUGCUGCCUUUUUAUUCCUGUGUAAUGAGUGUUUCAUCACUCUGUGUUACAAAAGGUGAAAUGUUCAUAGUCCUGUCUGGUUCUGGUAAGAUAAACAGUUUUCUAAGAUAUGGGAGGAUUUAACCCAAGCUUUAAUUCUAGUGCUUUGUAUGUUUGUUUACCUGGAGAAGACUGAGUUCAGGACAAAUAUGGGACAAAUUGGGUCAAAAAUAUCCAUGCUAAUGGUUAGAUGAUGUUAGGGAACACCACUGGUAAUCUGUGCUGGUAAAUAUUUAGAGUGGUCCCUGGUAUGGGGACCAGCACCAGCUAUUCACAGCACAAUUAAGGGUUUUGUGUGGACCAGGGUAUCAAUACCAAAACACAGUUUGGGUGAUACAAGCCACUUCUGAAGUGUUAAAACGUUUAAAAUACAUAGGGGCUGCUGAUCUGAUUAAACCUAUAAAUAGAUUGAUACAUGCUGCAGGACACCAGAGGAACGACUUGGCUGAAAUAUUGCUAAAUGCCUUCUGAAAGGCCUACAAUUGAGUUAAUCUCUCUGGCUGUGAACAAAAAAUUCACAGUAAAUAAAAUCACUUUCUAAAAAAAGUUGUGAUCCAUUGCUAAGAGGCAAACUAUGAAAUUUGCCUCUUUUUGAGCAUCCACACCAGGACUUAAUACUUCUGCAUUUAAAGAAAAGGACAUUCAGAACACUGCUUUCUUUUGCCUCAUAUUCCAUGGGUUUUUGUGUCAGGCAAGGAUCAAGCUUCACACAUGAUCCCACAAGUAAUAUAGACCUGGAAAUCCAGAAAUAAAAGCACAUGUAACACUCAUUACUGACAGGCUUCACAGUAGAGCUGUAAGGAUUCUCAUUUAGACCUCACAAAAUCUGACUUCUCUUCCUCUCAUGUCUCUCCCACCUCAUUUGCACACUUAGGCAAGUUUUGCCAUCAGGAGUCAUACAUCCUCAGUGUUAUAUCCACCCAGUUUAUCCACUCAUCCCAUGUGCUUGUAAUCUUAGUAAAUUUAGCUUUUGUUAUUGGCAGAAUUUAUGAGCUGGGAUAAGUCUACCUUUGUAAUACAGACUAGGUGGAUAUUUCUGUGGCAAUAUGCCAUGAACAGUCUUCUGAGGGAAUAAAACCCUAAAAGUCAUCCCAGCUAUUUUGGAAAAGGUGAUUAAGAUUUCUUGGAAAAAAUCCCUUAAAACUAUUGAAACUAAUACUAGAUUUAGGGUUUGAUUUUGUGAAGACAUUUAAGUAAUGCAUUACCAACCUCUGCUUAGAUUAUGUCCAGUUAUGGACUUGGAUUUGUCCAAUGUAAAGGUGAAGGCUUGGGUUGGGUUUACCUGGUGUCCUGGGGUGACUUUAUGAUACUGGUAUCCCUAAUCGUCUGGUUUAUGUUAUAUAUUAAG